CAGUGUCUGACAUGCAUGCGAAGUAGAGGGUCUGCAUAUCCCGACCUCCACGAAUGUUUAUAUCAGAUAAUUUGGAAUUUGAUCCCUGAUUUUACUGUGAUUCAGGUAAGGAUUUGAUCCUUAAAUAAGUAGAAUAUUAGAAAAAAAAUUUUAGAUGCAACCUAGGUAUUCUGAAGGAAAACUAUUUCCUUCCCUUCAAUUCUCUCUGAACGGACCCCUCCU
rnacentral:lncRNA from 1 species